GAUUUCUGGCUUGAAACAUUUUGCCGGCCACGGUUUCGUGUGUUAGUGCUUGGUGUUCUGGCCAUCCUUCCAAUCGCUGUUUGUCUUUCUUCAUUGAUGGGCAAGUGGUAUUGGAUCUUUUACUUUGAAAAAAUUAGAGUGUUUCAAGCAGGCUUACUUGCUUUGAAUACAUUAGCAUGGAAUAAUAAUUUAGGGCUUCGGUUCUAUUUUGUUGGUUUCUAGGACUGAAGUAAUGAUUGAUAGGGAUAGUUGGGGGUGCUAGUAUUCAGCGGCCAGAGGUGAAAUUCUCGGAUUCGCUGAAGACUAACUUAUGCGAAAGCAUU
rnacentral:rRNA from 2 species